GCCCGGGUGGUGGAAUUGGUAGACACAAGGGAUUUAAAAUCCCUCGCUUGUAAGAGCGUGCCGGUUCAAGUCCGGCCCUGGGUACCA
rnacentral:tRNA from 2 species